rnacentral:siRNA from 1 species
AGCCAACGGUAGUUAUGAGGACAA